AUACGGAAGGUCCGGGCGUUAUCCGGAUUUAUUGGGUUUAAAGGGAGCGCAGGCCGAAGGUUAAGCGUGACGUGAAAUGUAGCCGCUCAACGGCUGAACUGCGUCGCGAACUGGCCUUCUUGAGUGAGUUCGAUGUGGGCGGAAUUCGUGGUGUAGCGGUGAAAUGCUUAGAUAUCACGAAGAACUCCGAUUGCGAAGGCAGCCCACAAGGCCUUUACUGACGCUAAAGCUCGAAGGUGCGGGUAUCGAACAGGAUUAGAUACCCUGGUAGUCCGCACGGUAAACGAUGGAUGCCCGCUGUUUGCGAUAUACUGUGAGCGGCCAAGAGAAAUCGUUAAGCAUCCCACCUGGGGAGUACGCCGGCAACGGUGAAACUCAAAGGAAUUGACGGGG
rnacentral:rRNA from 1 species